rnacentral:rRNA from 1 species
GCUUACGGCCAAAUCACGUUGAACGAACCUGGCCAUCAGAUCCCAGAAGCUAUGGAGGGCUAAGCCUGCUUAGAACUUGGAUGUGAGACUGCCUGGGAAUACCAGGUGAUGUGUGGG